UUGGAGGGCAAGUCUGGUGCCAGCAGCCGCGGUAAUUCCAGCUCCAAUAGCGUAUAUUAAAGCUGUUGCAGUUAAAAAGCUCGUAGUUGAAUUUUGGGAUCAGAGUGUCGGUCGCGCCUCGGUACGCACUGGUAUUAUUGGUUCCUACCUUCUGAAGAACCGCGGUGUCAUUAAUUUGGUGUCGUGGGGAAUCAGGACUGUUACUUUGAAAAAAUUAGAGUGUUUAAAGCAGGCUUACGCUUGAAUACAUUAGCAUGGAAUAAUGAAAUAGGACGUUUGAUUCUAUUUUGUUGGUUUCUAGGAUCGACGUAAUGAUUAAUAGGGAUAGUUGGGGGCAUUAGUAUUCAAUUGUCAGAGGUGAGAUUCUUGGAUUUAUUGAAGACUAACUACUGCGAAAGCAUUUGCCAAGGAUGUUUUCAUUAAUCAAGAACGAAAGUUAGGGGAUCGAAGACGAUCAGAUACCGUCGUAGUCUUAACCAUAAACUAUGCCGACUAGGGAUCGGAUGAUGUUAAUUUUUUAAUGACUCAUUCGGCGCCUUACGGGAAACCAAAGUGUUUGGGUUC
rnacentral:rRNA from 1 species